rnacentral:rRNA from 1 species
AUGACCACUGAUCNCAUGGUUAGUGGYGGAAAGAUUUAUCGRUGCGAGAUGGGCCCGCGGCCUAUCAGCUUGUUGGUGAGGUAACGGCUCACCAAGGCGACGACGGGUAGCCGACCUGAGAGGGUGACCGGCCACACUGGGACUGAGACACGGCCCAGACUCCUACGGGAGGCAGCAGUGGGGAAUAUUGCACAAUGGGCGAAAGCCUGAUGCAGCGACGCCGCGUGCGGGAUGACGGCCUUCGGGUUGUAAACCGCUUUUGACAGGGACGAAGCGCAAGUGACUGUACCUGUAGAAUAAGGACCGGCCAACUACGUGCCAGCAGCCGCGGUAAUACGUAGGGUCCGAGCGUUGUCCGGAAUUACUGGGCGUAAAGAGCUUGUAGGCGGUUCGUCGCGUCGUUUGUGAAAACUUGGGGCUCAACCUUAAGCUUGCAGGCGAUACGGGCGGACUAGAGUACUUCAGGGGAGACUGGAAUUCCUGGUGUAGCGGUGAAAUGCGCAGAUAUCAGGAGGAACACCGGUGGCGAAGGCGGGUCUCUGGGAAGUAACUGACGCUGAGAAGCGAAAGCAUGGGUAGCAAACAGGAUUAGAUACCCUGGUAGUCCAUGCCGUAAACGGUGGGUACUAGGUGUGGGGCUCCUUCCACGGACUCCGUGCCGUAGCUAACGCAUUAAGUACCCCGCCUGGGGAGUACGGCCGCAAGGCUAAAACUCAAAGAAAUUGACGGGGGCCCGCACAAGCGGCGGAGCAUGUGGAUUAAUUCGAUGCAACGCGAAGAACCUUACCUGGGUUUGACAUACACCGGAAACCUGCAGAGAUGUAGGCCCCCUUGUGGUCGGUGUACAGGUGGUGCAUGGCUGUCGUCAGCUCGUGUCGUGAGAUGUUGGGUUAAGUCCCGCAACGAGCGCAACCCUUAUCUUAUGUUGCCAGCGCGUAAUGGCGGGGACUCGUGAGAGACUGCCGGGGUCAACUCGGAGGAAGGUGGGGACGACGUCAAGUCAUCAUGCCCCUUAUGUCCAGGGCUUCAA